CAACCAGAAGCCCACCCACGAGCUUUUCCUUAACAUAACAGCGUCAAAACGGACGCCAAUAGUCCCGACCAAGGGCCUUUACUUAAAGCUGCAAA